GUCCUGGUUCUCGCAGCUGCCGGAGCCUCUGCCACCAUCAGAACUGCCAUUGAAACUAUUGAUUUGGUUCCAAUUCCUCCAUUUUUGAGACCUGCUGCAUCUCUAUUUUCCCUGUUUUCUGCUAGAACUAUCAUAGGGGAUACUGUUGAUGUCAUCAGGAAACUGUUAGAGCUGCUGUUGUUGCUGAUGCGAGUUAGAACGAAGUUGGAGUCACGUUUAAUUUUGUGGAUUUCGACUAACUGAGUGACACAGGUUCGAAAACUCCGUUUGAAGCUGCAGGCGAUUAUAGAUCUUAUUUAUGAGUUAAGUUUAUGACUCGAGUUAUUUUCAUAGAAGUUCCCUCGCUCUUAUUGCUUAACAUUUUUAUUUUAUACAGAGGGAUAGGAUUUGUAUGUGAGUUUUAUUUGAAAUCUUUUGUAUGACAGAUAUUAUUAUUAAUGAUUAUGUGAUUAUUAUUA